GCCCUUAGAGUUUGAUCAUGGCUCAGGACGAACGCUGGCGGCGCGCCUAACACAUGCAAGUCGAACGGAGCUGUUUUCUCUGAAGUUUUCGGAUGGAAGAGAGUUCAGCUUAGUGGCGAACGGGUGAGUAACACGUGAGCAACCUGCCUUUCAGUGGGGGACAACAUUUGGAAACGAAUGCUAAUACCGCAUAAGACCACAGUGUCGCAUGGCACAGGGGUCAAAGGAUUUAUCCGCUGAAAGAUGGGCUCGCGUCCGAUUAGCUAGAUGGUGAGGUAACGGCCCACCAUGGCGACGAUCGGUAGCCGGACUGAGAGGUUGAACGGCCACAUUGGGACUGAGACACGGCCCAGACUCCUACGGGAGGCAGCAGUGGGGAAUAUUGCACAAUGGGGGAAACCCUGAUGCAGCGACGCCGCGUGGAGGAAGAAGGUCUUCGGAUUGUAAACUCCUGUCCCAGGGGACGAUAAUGACGGUACCCUGGGAGGAAGCACCGGCUAACUACGUGCCAGCAGCCGCGGUAAAACGUAGGGUGCAAGCGUUGUCCGGAAUUACUGGGUGUAAAGGGAGCGCAGGCGGAUUGGCAAGUUGGGAGUGAAAUCUAUGGGCUCAACCCAUAAAUUGCUUUCAAAACUGUCAGUCUUGAGUGGUGUAGAGGUAGGCGGAAUUCCCGGUGUAGCGGUGGAAUGCGUAGAUAUCGGGAGGAACACCAGUGGCGAAACGGCCUACUGGGCACUAACUGACGCUGAGCUCGAAAGCAUGGGUAGCAAACAGGAUUAGAUACCCUGGUAGUCCAUGCCGUAAACGAUGAUUACUAUGUGUGGGAGGAUUGACCCCUUCCGUGCC
rnacentral:rRNA from 1 species